rnacentral:rRNA from 1 species
AGAGUUUGAUCAUGGCUCAGAUUGAACGCUGGCGGCAGGCCUAACACAUGCAAGUCGAGCGGUAGCACAGAGAGCUUGCUCUCGGGUGACGAGCGGCGGACGGGUGAGUAAUGUCUGGGAAACUGCCUGAUGGAGGGGGAUAACUACUGGAAACGGUAGCUAAUACCGCAUAACGUCGCAAGACCAAAGUGGGGGACCUUCGGGCCUCAUGCCAUCAGAUGUGCCCAGAUGGGAUUAGCUGGUAGGUGGGGUAACGGCUCACCUAGGCGACGAUCCCUAGCUGGUCUGAGAGGAUGACCAGCCACACUGGAACUGAGACACGGUCCAGACUCCUACGGGAGGCAGCAGUGGGGAAUAUUGCACAAUGGGCGCAAGCCUGAUGCAGCCAUGCCGCGUGUGUGAAGAAGGCCUUCGGGUUGUAAAGCACUUUCAGCGGGGAGGAAGGCGGUGAGGUUAAUAACCUCAUCGAUUGACGUUACCCGCAGAAGAAGCACCGGCUAACUCCGUGCCAGCAGCCGCGGUAAUACGGAGGGUGCAAGCGUUAAUCGGAAUUACUGGGCGUAAAGCGCACGCAGGCGGUCUGUCAAGUCGGAUGUGAAAUCCCCGGGCUCAACCUGGGAACUGCAUUCGAAACUGGCAGGCUAGAGUCUUGUAGAGGGGGGUAGAAUUCCAGGUGUAGCGGUGAAAUGCGUAGAGAUCUGGAGGAAUACCGGUGGCGAAGGCGGCCCCCUGGACAAAGACUGACGCUCAGGUGCGAAAGCGUGGGGAGCAAACAGGAUUAGAUACCCUGGUAGUCCACGCUGUAAACGAUGUCGACUUGGAGGUUGUGCCCUUGAGGCGUGGCUUCCGGAGCUAACGCGUUAAGUCGACCGCCUGGGGAGUACGGCCGCAAGGUUAAAACUCAAAUGAAUUGACGGGGGCCCGCACAAGCGGUGGAGCAUGUGGUUUAAUUCGAUGCAACGCGAAGAACCUUACCUGGUCUUGACAUCCACAGAACUUUCCAGAGAUGGAUUGGUGCCUUCGGGAACUGUGAGACAGGUGCUGCAUGGCUGUCGUCAGCUCGUGUUGUGAAAUGUUGGGUUAAGUCCCGCAACGAGCGCAACCCUUAUCCUUUGUUGCCAGCGGUCCGGCCGGGAACUCAAAGGAGACUGCCAGUGAUAAACUGGAGGAAGGUGGGGAUGACGUCAAGUCAUCAUGGCCCUUACGACCAGGGCUACACACGUGCUACAAUGGCAUAUACAAAGAGAAGCGACCUCGCGAGAGCAAGCGGACCUCAUAAAGUAUGUCGUAGUCCGGAUUGGAGUCUGCAACUCGACUCCAUGAAGUCGGAAUCGCUAGUAAUCGUAGAUCAGAAUGCUACGGUGAAUACGUUCCCGGGCCUUGUACACACCGCCCGUCACACCAUGGGAGUGGGUUGCAAAAGAAGUAGGUAGCUUAACCUUCGGGAGGGCGCUUACCACUUUGUGAUUCAUGACUGGGGUGAAGUCGUAACAAGGUAACCGUAGGGGAACCUGCGGUUGGAUCACCU